rnacentral:lncRNA from 1 species
CCUAAAGAUAUAAACCACAGCUUUUCUUGCAAAGUCACCUAUGUUACUGUAUUAAAGCAUGAAUAAGAGAUUAUCAUUUGUCGAAUAUUAUAGCAGUGGAAAGAGAAAUGUUUUAGUUACAAAGCAUGAAAACCAGAACUAAUGUUUGCUUUCUGUUUUCAGGUAGACCUCGGUGAAGGAAUCCUCCUUCAUAAGGCCAGGCUGGCACGACUGCAGCGAGACGCAAAAAACUCAGGCUCAAGAUUGGCCCGGGGCCUCCUGAAGGUUCCUUUCAGCCCAGAAGAGUUAGAGCACAAGUCUCUAUUUGGGCGGCGUUCCAAUGCCCACAAGGAUGUCACCCAAAAAGAGGCUUUGUACCCAAGGCGUGUGAACGCCAUUCUGAGCUACACAGCAAGGCACUUCGACGCUGCGACAGGGGAGAUCAAAAACACGUCAUCGAUGCUCGCACGCGGUUUUUGAAAUGUGCUAAAUAAAUGUUAGUUUUCAAAAA